UAAAAGGGACCUGGGCCAGUGCACCACGCAUCUGGGGGUAGAGGGCAAGUCUCCCAAGACAGAGUUAGAAAUAGAUCAAGACUUGGCUUGUGAAUCUGGACCCAAGACAGGGAGAACGGUGGUGGCAGGAGCAAGAAUCUGUGCCUCCUAGACUUGAUCUCAUCCUUCCUUUUAUUUUCCCCUUUGUUUUGCCUCUGUAUUUGGUGUUGAUGGUUGUUAUUUUAUACAGCAAGUAUAUGCCUAAAGGAACCAGGAGAAUGGGCCUAUAACCUUGCUUGGGCCAGACUUUGAAAGGAGGGAGAGGAGCAUAGGCCCAGGUAACUUUUUGCAGUAUGCGGUGGUGGCAGCCGAAAUAGAAUCCAGGGAGAACAAGAAGAAAGCAAUGGUCAAGAGGAAGAGAAACUUCUCAGGCUAAAUAGAGCUGAGCUUUCAUCUUGAAUGGCAGCUUUGGAAAAAGGAUCAUGCACAGAGCAACCCUUGAACUGUUUACAGAGACAGUAAUGUGAGGAGCACACCCUCCCAAGAUAAAAGCUGCUUUAUGGUAUAUAAAGAAAGUCCUUUGAAAGUACUGCUGAAAUUGAAGAGACUUUGUAGUUCUCCAACAACUUUCACGCAAGCAUCUGAAAACAUUUUACUGACAUACACCUUUAAUCUGCACAGCCGCCUGAGGGGAGGCGGAAAAAGGAGAAAACAAUUCUAGGAAGAGGAGAGUAUAGAUGAGAGGAGAAGUUUAGACCUUCAACAAAACAGAAGUGGACAAGCUUCAACAAUGUGUCCAGUGUGCUCCACAAUGCAUGUUCUGUUCCAGGAAAACCAUCAUCUGUGGCCACAGGACAAAUACACAAGGCUUCAAUGUUUACUCGUAGACUGCCCUAUCUCUUUCACUUUGGUUUAGAAAAUGAAGGGACAGUUCUCCUGAUAAAAGUUACAAACAAAGCCAGCUUCAUCUGUCAAGCUUUUUUUUUUUUUUUUGAGACUUUGAGACAGAGUCUUGCUUUGUUGCCCAGGCUGGCGUGCAGUGGUGAGAUCUCAGCUCAGUGCAACCUCCAUCCCCGGGUUCAAGCAAUUCUCUUGCCUCAGCCUCCAGAGUUGCUGGGACUACAGGCACAUGCCACCAUGCCCAGCUAAUUUUUGUAUUUUUAGUAGAGGUGGAGUUUCAUCAUGUCGGUCAGGCUGGUCUUGAACUCCUGACCUCAAGCAAUCUACCUGCCUCGGCCUCCCAAAGUGCUGGGAUAGCAGGUGUGAGCCAGCACUCCCAGCCACCUGUCAACCUCUUUUUGAUAAACAUAACCGAGUUUCACCUGUUAUCAAAGACGCCUUCUAAGAUCUGUUAACAGUAAUUUUUUGGUUGGUUAUUUCCAUAUCAUUAACAUCAUAUACAAAAUCAUUCCUAUCAGUAAAGAAAGGAGAAAUAAAAUGAUAUUUUCAGAGCAUCUGCUAUAGAUUAGGCAUGUUUCAGGCAGUGUUGAUGGCCAUGUUUACUUGGCACUGACAACAAGCCCAGAAGUUGAGCACUGGGACCUAUUAUUGUCAGAGACACAGAGAGGCUGCUACGCCAGCCUGAGUUCACCUGGCUGCUGACAGCAGAGCCAGGGUCUGAAUGCCAGUGUGUCUGACUCCCCAGAAUCAAGUUCUAAACCUCUACAGCACACCACCCCCACCCCGAUCCUUGCUCCCACAAGGUCCUUGUAGCCAACUAAUUACCAAAGCACCAUGGAUUUCUGGAACAGCUUCUGUGAAAUAAAAUUGAUCAGGGCUGCCAGACAACUCACUUACUGAAUUGCCAGUGCUCAACCCUGACCUUCCCCAUUGAGGAUGAAGCCCCCAGCACACACAUACUCCAUGUGCUAGAAAAUAUAAUACUAGAGGGAGAUGGAGGAAGGGGAAAGGAGAAAUAAGGAGGGGAGGCAGCAAGCCUCCCUCCUACUGCGCUCCCUCCUACUGUGCUCUCUUCCAUCCAUCCAUGGCUUCCCCUGGCCCCAGCCCCCUCCCCACAGCCCUGCAGUUGGUCCCAUUAUCCCUUUCACCCCAGCUAAUUAUAGUCACUGAUUACCUAACAGCAAGUCCUACUAUCACCUGCUUUGGCCUGACAGAUUAUGCCAUCUGGGCCACGUGGCUAGGGUCUGAGAGCCAUGAGAGGUCACAGAGAGGGGCAAAUGGCUCUGAAUGGGAAGAAAUGUGUUUACAGCCCUGACAGCUGACUGGGCAAUUAAAGGGGCUUUAGCUGUGUGUUCCCAGCUGAAACCCCUCUCCAGGGGCCUUGCCACCUAGUGCUAUUAGCUGAUGGGAUGUGGCUGCAUAUCAUACCGGUUCCAAAUGUGGACGUGCUAUGGGACUGCACCCUCUCCUAAAAAGGAAAAGAAAAAGGACUCAGAGAAAGCUGUGGGCUCACAGUUGUUUGAGGUCCUUGUUGAGCUGACACCAGAAUAUACCCUCAGAAGAAAUGGCCAGCAUUUUGAGAAAGCACAGUGUCCAAAUACCUUUUUCACUUCCUGUGUUUAUUGUACAUUACCUUAAAUACAUGUAUGAAACACACUUUAUGAAAUUGAACUCUAUGCGACUUCUAUAUUAACAACUUUUGUGUCCUUAUCAGCAGUGUGUCUGUCUCUAACUUUACUGUGCCUGUAUAUGACUGUCAAUCUUAUUAAAAUGCAGGUUCUAAA